rnacentral:rRNA from 1 species
AACCGCUGAAAGCAUCUAAGCGGGAAACGGGCCCCGAGAUGAGGUUUCCCACUCUUCGGAGUUAAGGGCAGUUCGAGACUAGGACGUAGAUAGGCCGGAGGUGUAAGUACAGUGAUGUAUUGAGCCGACCGGUACUAAUAGCCCGAGGCCUUGACCU